rnacentral:lncRNA from 1 species
CACAAUAUAACAAGCAAUCAAGAUAGAUAUACAAACUAGCACAUCAAAUAUAAUUAUGGGUCAGUAAUAUUAAAAGAGUCCUGAACUGAGAUGACCAGUGGUAGUAGGUGUAGGAUUAGUAGCUAGAGAACUCUAGCAAAUCCCUAUCAAAAAACAACUUGUGGAAAUGUAAAGAGACAACAGAAAGAGAAACUUAUAGUUGUUGGUGUUGUAUCCAACAUUCAAGAAAGAAAGAAAAAGGAGAAAAAGGAAAGAGUUUUCUAUGUGGGUAUGAUUAAUUAUAGAGAUUUCUCAAUUGGAAUAAAAGUGAGUAUUCUCUUCUUCAAUAGUUACAGGAUGAUACCUUUAUGAAGUCUCUGCAACUAAGUGCGAAGAAAACUGAGUCUUGGUGUUGGGAAGAAGAGAGAGGGGGUUUCGUGGGUAAUGAACAAGUGGAAUAUAAUUCCAGGUCAACUACCAUCUGGGAAA